CUCGUAGGCGGCCAACUAAGUCAGACGUGAAAUCCCUCGGCUUAACCGGGGAACUGCGUCUGAUACUGGAUGGCUUGAGUUUGGGAGAGGGAUGCGGAAUUCCAGGUGUAGCGGUGAAAUGCGUAGAUAUCUGGAGGAACACCGGUGGCGAAGGCGGCAUCCUGGACCAAUACUGACGCUGAGGAGCGAAAGCCAGGGAGCAAAC
rnacentral:rRNA from 1 species